rnacentral:rRNA from 1 species
GCGAGGUGAAGGAGAUACAUACUAGGCAUUGUCUUGUAAUUGGAAUGAUGGUGACGUAAAAUCUCACCAGAGUAACAAUUGGAGGGCAAGUCUGGUGCCAGCAGCCGCGGUAAUUCCAGCUCCAUAGCGUAUAUUAAACUUGUUGCAGUUAAAAAGCUCGUAGUUGAAUUUCUGCGUUGCCCGACUCGGCUACUUGCCUUGUCUGGUUUCGCUUUUGGGGUUUUCCCCUUUUUACUUUGAGAAAAUUAGAGUGUUUCAAGCAGACUUGUGUCUUGAAUACUUCAGCAUGGAAUAAUAAAGUAGGACUUUGGUUCUAUUUUGUUGGUUUGUGAACCUUAGUAAUGGUUAAUAGGAACGGUUGGGGGCGUUCAUGUUUUUGAAGGA